GAUGAACGCUGGCGGCGUGCCUAAUACAUGCAAGUCGAGCGAACAGACGAGGAGCUUGCUCCUCUGACGUUAGCGGCGGACGGGUGAGUAACACGUGGAUAACCUACCUAUAAGACUGGGAUAACUUCGGGAAACCGGAGCUAAUACCGGAUAAUAUAUUGAACCGCAUGGUUCAAUAGUGAAAGACGGUUUUGCUGUCACUUAUAGAUGGAUCCGCGCCGCAUUAGCUAGUUGGUAAGGUAACGGCUUACCAAGGCAACGAUGCGUAGCCGACCUGAGAGGGUGAUCGGCCACACGGGAACUGAGACACGGUCCAGACUCCUACGGGAGGCAGCAGUAGGGAAUCUUCCGCAAUGGGCGAAAGCGUGACGGAGCAACGCCGCGUGAGUGAUGAAGGUCUUCGGAUCGUAAAACUCUGUUAUUAGGAAAGAACAAAUGUGUAAGUAACUAUGCACGUCUUGACGGUACCUAAUCAGAAAGCCACGGCUAACUACGUG
rnacentral:rRNA from 1 species